rnacentral:rRNA from 1 species
GUGAGGAAUAUUGGUCAAUGGGCGCAAGCCUGAACCAGCCAUGCCGCGUGCAGGAAGACGGUCCUAUGGAUUGUAAACUGCUUUUAUUUGGGAAUAAACUCCGGUACGUGUACCGGCCUGAAGGUACCAAAUGAACAAGCACCGGCUAACUCCGUGCCAGCAGCCGCGGUAAUACGGAGGGUGCAAGCGUUAUCUGGAAUCAUUGGGUUUAAAGGGUCCGCAGGCGGUCUUAUAAGUCAGUGGUGAAAGCCUACAGCUCAACUGUAGAACUGCCAUUGAUACUGUAGGACUUGAAUUCGAUCGAAGUGGGCGGAAUGUGACAUGUAGCGGUGAAAUGCUUAGAUAUGUCACAGAACACCGAUAGCGAAGGCAGCUCACUAGGUCUGGAUUGACGCUCAGGGACGAAAGCGUGGGGAGCAAACAGGAUUAGAAACCCGUGUAGUCC